rnacentral:lncRNA from 1 species
CAGCCAGUCUGCACCUGGCUAGAACUAAACCCAGGCACCUGUUCUCUUCCAUUGCCUCCCAGGCUCAAAGCCAGUGGCUUGACAAUCUUCCCACACCACAAAAGCUAAGCUCUUUGUGUUCAUUCAGCACCGAGUCAGUACGUCAACGGAACUUGUGUCCGUGCGCCACUGAAGUGACAGGCCCUCUAUACUCUGCACUGAGGGGAAUGUUGACAGAAGAGAUGACAAGACAUAAAACCUCAUCAAAAGGAAUGCUCAUUCAUUCAGCUGUCCAGGACACCUGUCUGCCACUGCAGGCUGAAGCACUGGGCACAGAGCCAGUUACUGACUUUUCCUCAGGGGCCCCUUCAGACCCACAUGGAAGAAAGACUGACACAGUCCCACUCCAUGACUGGAGUGUGACAAAACUCAGAAGCAGGCAAUGGAUGUAUUCCCAGGGGAAAAUGGAGCAGGCUGUAGGCCCACCAUGGGUGAGGGAGCUAAGGCAGGAGCGUGGAACCCACCCUUCUGGGGAGAGGGGCUGAUACCUUCCACAGUCAUACUUAGAAAAGCACUGGAAAGGGCUCCAGUGGGCCUGGUGUGGUGACCCACAGGAAGCUGGGGCACCAGGCACUAGAGGCAUGGUAAGACAGGGAGCUAGUGCCAGGCAGAGGCAAAGCCACUGCAGCAGCCAGUGAGGACAGUCCAGGGGAGAGGAGGAGGGCCUGAGAGGGGAAAAGCACCAAGUACUAGAGUGGAGGCCUCCCGAAAUUGAGGAGGUGUGAGCACAGCGGAGGAAGCAGCAGCGGCCAGAGGUGACCCCUCCUAGGGAUGAAUGUUUCCAGGGAGGCAGGGAGGCUGGCCUGUGAAGGAGGGCUGAGCCACAGGGCAUUGAUGACUCAGUGAGGAACAGCUGCGCUGUAUGAAGAGGAUGCGCUCCUGGAGAGCAGAAGGGGCAACCCAAGAGGCUUAGAAGAGGCGAAGUGGAUAUAGCUGGCUCCAGGAACCACCAAAAGGCAGCAAAGAGUUUGUCUUGAGGGAUUCAUUGUGAAUGAAAAUAGAGGAAGAAGUUGUGUUGGAAGCUAAGGGUGAGAAAACAGUCCCUUUUAGACCUGAGAAAGGAGAGCCAAGGCCAUCAACAAAGAAUGCUGGAGCAGCCAGUCCGCAGUACUGCACAACAUCCAACAAAGCGGGGCCUCUGUGGGCUGCAGGUGGAGAGAGGUUGCUACAGAGGCCAGUGUUGCCACUGCAUUAAAUGAACUGACCUCUUCCCCAACCAGCAGACAAGAGACCCAUCCUUGGAGAGGUAAGCUGAGGCUCCCCGGCUGGGGCCACCAAGCCCAGGAAAGUGUCCUGUGCACAGGGCCCCAAGAGAUGCAGAAAGUGCUGCCAGCCCCUCUGCUACAGAUCUAGUCAGCCAUCUUCCCCGGGGGCUUCCUGUCCCCACAUGAAACACAGAUUUGGCAUCAGAAGUUCCCCCAAUGAGGUCCCAG